UGGGGAAUAUUGGGCAAUGGGCGCAAGCCUGACCCAGCAACGCCGCGUGAAGGAAGAAGGCUUUCGGGUUGUAAACUUCUUUUGUCGGGGACGAAACAAAUGACGGUACCUGACGAAUAAUGCCACGGCUAACUACGUGCCAGCAGCCGCGGUAAUACGUAGGUGGGCAAGCGUUAUCCGGAUUUACUGGGUGUAAAGGCGUGUAGGCGGGAUUGCAAGUCAGAUGUGAAAACUGGGGGCUCAACCUCCAGCCCGCAUUUGAAACUGUAGUUCUUGAGUGCUGGAGAGGCAAUCGGAAUUCCGUAUGUAGCGGUGAAAUGCGUAGAUAUACGGAGGAACACCAGUGGCGAAGGCGGAUUGCUGGACAGUAACUGACGCUGAGGCGCGAAAGCGUGGGGAGCAAACAGGAUUAGAUACCC
rnacentral:rRNA from 1 species